GCCACUGAAAAUUUUCCCAAAAUUGAAUGCAUGUAAGUAAUCCUGACCCACGCAACAAACUUCCAAUCCUGAAAGCUUCUCUGUGUGCUCCUUUUCCCUUUCUCUUCAGAACAAAUUUUUAACCAAAAUAACAUAGAUAGCUGAAUACAAUAAUCCAAUAAACUUUCAAGAAAAUAGCAUCUUUACCACUAAUAAAAGUAUACUGCUUUUUACUUUGCAUCUGAGCACAUAACCAAUUGGUCUAUCUGAGUCAGUUUUUCUUUGUUAGUGUUAGUGUCUGUGUUCAUGUCACCAGCACUAGCAAGAAAAACCACUCCAAAUAUUGCAAAGGACACAAACAAUUUUGGCCUA
rnacentral:lncRNA from 1 species